CCUACGGGUGGCAGCAGUAGGGAAUAUUGCUCAAUGGGGGAAACCCUGAAGCAGCAACGCCGCGUGGAGGAUGAAGGUUUUAGGAUUGUAAACUCCUUUUGUGAGAGAAGAUAAUGACGGUAUCUCACGAAUAAGCACCGGCUAACUCCGUGCCAGCAGCCGCGGUAAUACGGAGGGUGCAAGCGUUACUCGGAAUCACUGGGCGUAAAGAGGGCGCAGGCGGGUUUGUAAGUCAGAUGUGAAAUCCUGGGGCUUAACUACAGAACUGCAUUUGAAACUAUGAGUCUAGAGUGUGGGAGAGGUAGGUGGAAUUCUUGGUGUAGGGGUGAAAUGCGUAGAUAUCAGGAAGAAUACUGAUUGCGAAGGCGGCCUACUGGAACAUUACUGACGCUGAUGCACGAAAGCGUGGGGAGCAAACAGGAUUAGAUACCCGAGUAGUC
rnacentral:rRNA from 1 species